GGCACCGCAGCGCGUCAUACACAUGCAGUCGAACGAUGAUGCCAGCUUGCUGGUGGAUUAGUGGCGAACGGGUGAGUAACACGUGAGUAACCUGCCCUUAACUCUGGGAUAAGCCUGGGAAACUGGGUCUAAUACCGGAUAUGACCUUCCAUCGCAUGGUGGUUGGUGGAAAGCUUUUUGUGGUUUUGGAUGGACUCGCGGCCUAUCAGCUUGUUGGUGAGGUAAUGGCUUACCAAGGCGACGACGGGUAGCCGGCCUGAGAGGGUGACCGGCCACACUGGGACUGAGACACGGCCCAGACUCCUACGGGAGGCAGCAGUGGGGAAUAUUGCACAAUGGGCGCAAGCCUGAUGCAGCGACGCCGCGUGAGGGAUGACGGCCUUCGGGUUGUAAACCUCUUUCAGUAGGGAAGAAGCGAAAGUGACGGUACCUGCAGAAGAAGCGCCGGCUAACUACGUGCCACACCCCACGGUUAAAAA
rnacentral:rRNA from 1 species